rnacentral:rRNA from 1 species
UACGUAGGGUGCGAGCGUUAAUCGGAAUUACUGGGCGUAAAGCGUGCGCAGGCGGUUCGUUGUGUCGGCGGUGAAAGCCCCGGGCUCAACCUGGGAAUGGCCGUUGAAACUGGCGAACUGGAGUGUGGCAGAGGGGGGUGGAAUUCCGCGUGUAGCAGUGAAAUGCGUAGAGAUGCGGAGGAACACCGAUGGCGAAGGCAGCCCCCUGGGCUGACACUGACGCUCAGGCACGAAAGCUAGGGGAGCAAACAGG